CAAUCACUAUUGCACUUGUAAUAUAAUUUGUAUUUCCCGCGUUUUGUCCCUAUACUUUUUAUACCCAUAAGUCCUUGCAAAAUAGCUAGGCCGACCAGAACAAUUGAGGCCUGGUCAUUCCCGGCAGAGAAACGUAGCUGCAGACACGUUUUUUUUAAGCAGCUAGUAUAUGUUAAUAGCCAUACAAGCUUUAUCUUGACACUGGCACGGAGACAGGUCCGUGCGUCAUGGAUAUUGGUAUGACCUGUGCUUGAUACAUAGACUGAGCUGAGGGGAUCAUUGUGACGGCGAAAGGUUCCAGGGACUAAGGCCCGGAAGAGUGCUGUGCGUGGAUCCAAAUAUUUGUUGGUGAACGGAUAACAGAUAAGUCUAUCCAAGAAACUUUGAGUUAGCGCUUUAUAAGAAAAGGCAAACUUUUGAUUUCAUUCCUGCAUCGAGGAUGAGGAUGAUGUUGAUGAUCAUGAUCGUGAUGAUGACGAGGAUAAUCUAUGAUCUGGGAACAUGUUUGGCAUUAAUAACUGAAUUAGAUACCCGGGUUGAUUGGCUGAUUAAUGAAUUUAUUAAUUGGGUAAUUGUUGAUUACCAAUUGUUUUUUUUUUCUCCUUGUUUAAUUGUUUAAUAGUGAGAAAGAGGGUGUGAAUUUGUGUGCGGUAGUUUGUGUGAGAUCUUUGUUAUUAUUAUUAUUAUUUUUUUUUUUGUAAAUAAAUUUAUUAAACUUA